GUUAACGAUUUCAACAAGUUCGUUUAUGAUAAAAAGGUAUGUUUUAUUUUCAUUUUAUUUGAUCUGUUAUGAAAUUGUUAAAUUUGCAACUUUAUCAUUUGAAAUAAAUUUUAUUCUUAUUCUUAUUCUUUUAUUUUUUUGUUUUUAUGCUUUUGAUCACGUUGGUGCUAUUUUUUUUCGACUGGUGGUCGGUGCUUGCCCCUUUAGUAUAUUUGUACUUUCCAGUAAAAACAUUAAUAUUUAUUUCUUAAUUGAACAGUCAAUUGCAAAUAUUGGAAAAACGGACGUAGAAUCACAUUCGCAACCUCAAAAAUAACAGAUUAGAAUUUUGAAUUAUUUUGACGCCUAAUACGUCUGAUUCAAUUUGACAAAGUCAAGCAUAAACAUAAUAUGCUUUCUUCAUUUUCAGGUAUUUAGGGUGACUCAGAACUAAGAAUAAAGUGAAUUAGAAAAGCAUACAACAAAAAUAGUAAGAAAGAACUGGUGGAUAUCGGCGUGCAUCUGAUAAUGUUUUGGACACGUUCGAUGAAGCCAUAACCAUCUUUUAGUAUGGUUAGUGUGGCAAGCUAGCGGUCGCGGAAAAUGUAUACCUAUAUUUUAUGAAUAUGCAAUCCCAUCCAUCUACAGUUUUCUAACCAGAAAACGAAAUUUUGUAGCACUCCUUUACCAGUAACAACCAUGACAUUUUAUUGUAUUUAUUAUCUCAGUUCAUGUUAAAACUUUUCUUCGAAAGUACACAAAGAUAGAGGAAAUUAUAUAUAUAUAUCUUUCAUGUUAUUUAUCAUAAUUCCAUGAUUAUAGAUACAGGAAGAUGUGGUAUGAGUGCCAAUUAGACAACUCUACAUCCAAAUAACAAUUUAUAAAAGUAAACCAUUAUAGGUCAAGGUACGACCUUCAACACGGAGCAUUGGCUCACAGCGAACAGCAAGCUAUAAAGGACCCCAAAAAUUACUAGUGAAAAACCAUUCAAACGGGAAAACCAAAGGUGUAAUCGAUAUAAAAACGAGAGAUGAGAAACACGUAUAAACUACAUAAACAGACGAUAACUACUGAACAUCAGAUUCCUGACUUGGGACAGGAGCAAACAAUCGGGAUUAAAAUUUUAAUGGUACCAAAGCUUCUCCCUUUUUCUGAAACAAUAGUAUAACAUCACAAC
rnacentral:lncRNA from 1 species